GACAGGAGGAUGCAAGUGUUAUCCGGAAUCACUGGGCGUAAAGCGUCUGUAGGUUGUUUAAAAAGUCUGCAGUUAAAGGUUGAAGCUUAACUUCAAAAAUGCCGUAGAAACUUUUAAACUAAGAGGAUGGUAGGGGUAGAGGGAAUUUCCAGUGGAGCGGUGAAAUGUGUAGAUAUUGGAAAGACCACCGAUGGCGAAGGCACUCUACUGGGCCAUGACUGACACUGAGAGACGAAAGCUAGGGGAGCAAAUGGG
rnacentral:rRNA from 1 species